ensembl:lincRNA
AUGUUCAUGCCUGUUUUCUGUUUUAGGUGUGGUGGCUUAAGAGAAUUUUCCCAACGAGUUUUCUGCCAUGGGGCACCCCCUUUUGUUGUCUUAAAUAUGCAGCAUUGGAAAUCUGAAGAUCUGGCAUAUGUACCCUAUUACUUGGAUUUGUCUGACCACAAGUAUUUGUUGGAAGGUGCCACAUUAUUUAACAAAGAGGAACAUCAUUAUUCUGCAGCUUUCCAGAUUGGUGGACAUUGGAUGCACUAUGAUGGGCUCAGAAAUGUGAAUUUAAUUUUGUUAAAUAAACCCCCAGAGUUUCUCCUCUUGUCAUCAUUGGUUUAUAUUCGAGCAACAGAGAAAUAAAUACAGACUAAUGCUAAAAGUUGUUUUCCCUCCUGCCCAUGCUCCCCUAGAUGAAGGGCUUUUAUUUUGUGUAUACUUGGUAUCCAAGAAAAUAGUUCAACUAUACUAGUUUCAGAAGUGUAUUUUCAGUGUUUAACCCCAGGUAAAUGUUUUAUAUAGAGGAUCUAUGCAAAAACUGUUUGUAAUUUUUUUUAUAUUUCCUGAGUUAUUUUUAUAUGAGCAUAUUUUAUGUUGAAAUAAAAAGUAUCUUGUGGCCUUUGUAUUUUUUAUUUAUAUGUACCUCAAAGAUUUUUACAAUUCUGUCCUUGAAUUCAAGAAAUACUUUGUCAUCUGAAUUCUAAAUUUUUCUUUUUGGAUAUUCAAGUAAAACCUAGGUAAGAGUAUUUUAGUUUAUAUAAUUUAACAGUUCAAAAUAUAUCUGACUGUAUUUCUUUGCCCUACCUCACUAUAAUCCGAAGUGCACUAUUUGAUCUAGUAUGGAUUUGAAUGUAUAAUUUAUCAAUGGCUUAGUUUAUUUGUUCGAUUUGCACAGUAUCCCUGCAGCAGUUUUUAAAAAGUAUGAGAAAUUUUUCAGAGCUUAAGCUAUUUCUUUAUAAUGGCAAAUUACUUUUAACUAUUUCCUAAAGUAUUAUAAACCUGCCAGUGGAUUUUAAGUGAUAGCUAAGCUUCCAAGCUUAAUUCAGGUUGUUACAAAUAAAUUAUAUAACUAUCCUAAGUGUUUAUCUUAUAAUUAAAUGUAAUUUGAAAUGCUCUAAUAUAUUUUGCAGAUAAAACAACUAUAAACAAUAUUAGGCAACUGGAUGUUUACUAGUGUUGGACUAGCAAUAGAAAUGCACUUUAAAUAUAUAUUUAAGGGGAAAUGUGUGCCUGGAAAUAUUUCUUUUCCUAGUGAAGUUUUAUAUUGACACAGAGAAAAGAAUACUUAAAUUUUUGGAGGGAUGUCUACUGGCUCCCUUAUAAGUAGUGAUUGAUAGCAUGCGGCUUUGACUUGCAAUACAAAUCAUUAGGAUUUUAUAGGUAUCAGAACAUUACAUUUCUUUAUAAAGACCCUAAGGUCACUCUUCUUUUUGCAAUUUAAGGGAAAAAAUAAAGAUUCUCAAGGGAAAAUACUUUUUGAAAUUUAUCACCAUUUUAGUGUUUACAUUUCAAUAAAUAGUUCACUUCAGGUUUGGGAUUGAGAUUAGUUGCAAUAUAUUUAGAAACUUCUACAUGACAGCACAGAUCACUGCCAUCUGCUGAAUUGCUAAAGUGCUUGGUGCCAUGUUGAGAAAACUUACCUGAGAAUGGAUAAAUAUGGGUGAAACAUUACUGAGAAUGCCUCACGUUAGCAAACACUAUGAAAAGUCUUGUUUAUAUAUCAAACUUAUUUUACAAAAAAAAAUUCACCCCAAGAUUGAUUUAGAUGGUUUCCCAGGUGUAUCUGAAUAGGAUUUAAUUUAGAAUAAACUUUUCUGGGGACACCUGAUUGCAUGAAUUGAAGUAUACAAUAACACGAAUAUUAGAGUAAACAUAAAUGGUGUCAUUAACAAAAUUAUUCCUAAUGCACAUUUAUUCUUUUAGGAAAUGCACUUUAUUUGGAAUACUAGUGUAUCAUGAAACAAUGACUUACCUACCUCACAGGGUUGUUGUGAGGAUUAAGAUGUUUGUUAAAAUCUUGACUACCUUGAACAUGCUAAUAAAAAAUUUUUUUUCUACCU